CAGCAGCCACGGGAAUACGUAGGUGGCAAGCGUUGUCCGGAAUUAUUGGGCGUAAAGGGCUCGCAGGCGGUUUCUUAAGUCUGAUGUGAAAGCCCCCGGCUCAACCGGGGAGGGUCAUUGGAAACUGGGAAACUUGAGUGCAGAAGAGGAGAGUGGAAUUCCACGUGUAGCGGUGAAAUGCGUAGAGAUGUGGAGGAACACCAGUGGCGAAGGCGACUCUCUGGUCUGUAACUGACGCUGAGGAGCGAAAGCGUGGGGAGCGAACAGGAUUAGAGACCCCCGUAGUCCCUGUCUCUUAUAC
rnacentral:rRNA from 1 species